rnacentral:rRNA from 1 species
GAUGAACGCUGGCGGCGUGCCUAAUACAUGCAAGUCGAGCGAACGGACGAGAAGCUUGCUUCUCUGAUGUUAGCGGCGGACGGGUGAGUAACACGUGGAUAACCUACCUAUAAGACUGGGAUAACUUCGGGAAACCGGAGCUAAUACCGGAUAAUGUUUUGAACCGCAUGGUUCAAAAGUAAAAGACGGUCUUGCUGUCACUUAUAGAUGGAUCCGCGCUGCAUUAGCUAGUUGGUAAGGUAACGGCUUACCAAGGCAACGAUGCAUAGCCGACCUGAGAGGGUGAUCGGCCACACUGGAACUGAGACACGGUCCAGACUCCUACGGGAGGCAGCAGUAGGGAAUCUUCCGCAAUGGGCGAAAGCCUGACGGAGCAACGCCGCGUGAGUGAUGAAGGUCUUCGGAUCGUAAAACUCUGUUAUUAGGGAAGAACAUAUGUGUAAGUAACUGUGCACAUCUUGACGGUACCUAAUCAGAAAGCCACGGCUAACUACGUG